rnacentral:tRNA from 1 species
GCCCUGUUAGCUCAGUUGGUUAGAGCAUCACCCCAAUAUGUCAAGCCCGCAGGUUCGAUCCCUGGUCAGGGCA